rnacentral:piRNA from 1 species
UGAGUUUGCUUUUGAUGUCCCCCAGCC